ACGCUGGCGGCGUAGCCUAACACAUGCAAGUCGAACGGACGAGAUUUCUUCGGAGAUCGAGUUAGUGGCGAACGGGUGAGUAACGCGUGAGCAACCUGCCUUUCAGAGGGGGACAACAGUUGGAAACGACUGCUAAUACCGCAUAACGCAUUCGGGGGGGCAUCCCCUGAAUGCCAAAGAUUUAUCGCUGAAAGAUGGGCUCGCGUCUGAUUAGAUAGUUGGUGAGGUAACGGCUCACCAAGUCGACGAUCAGUAGCCGGACUGAGAGGUUGAACGGCCACAUUGGGACUGAGAUACGGCCCAGACUCCUACGGGAGGCAGCAGUGGGGAAUAUUGGGCAAUGGGGGAAACCCUGACCCAGCAACGCCGCGUGAAGGAAGAAGGCUUUCGGGUUGUAAACUUCUUUUACCAGGGACGAAGACGUGACGGUACCUGGAGAAAAAGCCACGGCUAACUACAUG
rnacentral:rRNA from 1 species